GAGCCUGGCGGAGAAGCAGAGGAGAGGGACGCUGGAAGCAUGUUUGGCCCGGGACAGAAAUCUGGAGGGCUUGGCUACCUUCAUCCUCCUCAGGCCGGAGCAGGCUUCCUGAGAGAGUCCAGGUCGUAGGAGUUUUACGACUUAGAAAAGCGGGCUGCAGAUUCCUUCCUGGGUGUUUUGUUCAAGCCUUGGCUCCGGCCUUACUCUCAGUCUUCCCAGGAGUUCAUGGGAUUUGGACCCUAGAUUAUUAGUAUUAUUUUGAGGGCCUCCUGUGUGUAAGCACUGGUUGUGCGCAGAUGGCUGUGCAGAGCGCCGUGAGGUAGAGGCUGGGGAAAUGAGGGCUUUGGAGGUGCUUGAGGUGUGGUCUUUACCUACGUGAAAUGUUGGAGGUUGAGAUGAAAACUCUUGCUUUGAAUUCUUCAUGGAGGACUACAUCAUUUCAAUCCUGAAUCUGGCUCAAUUCUAUUAUUCACUUAUUAUUGUAUUAAAAACGUUUAAUUGGCCGGGCACAAUGGUUCACGCCUGUAGUCCCAGCACUUUGGGAGGCCAAGGCAGGCAGAUCACUUGAGGUCAGAAGUUCGACACCAGCCUGGCCAACAUGGCAAAACCCCGCCUCUACUAAAAAUACAAAAAUUAGCCAGGCGUGGUGGCACGCGCCUGUAAUCACAGCUACUUGGGAGGCUGAGGUGGGAGAACUGUUUGAACCCAGGAGGUGGAGGUUGCAGUGAGCCGAGAUCACGCCACUGCACUCAAGCCUUGGCAUCAGAGUGAGACUCUGUCUCAGUAAAAAAAUAAAAAAUAAAAAAAGUUUAAUUAACCAUGA